AUCCCAUGAUGAGGACAGGCGGCGACGUACUCCUCCAGACACUCCCAUGCUUCGGGGAUCGACUCAUCCUUCGUCUGCUAGAACCCUGAAAUCCUCCCGCGAAGUGC
rnacentral:snoRNA from 1 species